rnacentral:rRNA from 1 species
GAUGAACGCUAGCUACAGGCUUAACACAUGCAAGUCGCAGGGUAACAUGAGGAAAGCUUGCUUUCCUUGAUGACGACUGGCGCACGGGUGAGUAACGCGUAUCCAACCUUCCCAUAACUACGGGAUAACCCGUUGAAAGACGGCCUAAUACCGUAUGAUAUCGUUUGCUGACAUCAAAUAACGAUUAAAGGUUUAGCGGUUAUGGAUGGGGAUGCGUCUGAUUAGCUUGUUGGCGGGGUAACGGCCCACCAAGGCGACGAUCAGUAGGGGUUCUGAGAGGAAGGUCCCCCACAUUGGAACUGAGACACGGUCCAAACUCCUACGGGAGGCAGCAGUGAGGAAUAUUGGUCAAUGGGCGAGAGCCUGAACCAGCCAAGUAGCGUGCAGGACGACGGCCCUAUGGGUGGUAAACUGCUUUUAUGUGGGGAUAAAGUGCGUGACGUGUCAUGCAUUGCAGGUACCACAUGAAUAAGGACCGGCUAAUUCCGUG